AGCCAUUCCAUUAACUCUAUAUGUAGGCAUGCCUUUGACAUAUGUGAAUACAUUAUUCCAAUUUUUUCUGAGAUGGACAAGCAUUUGGGUUUAUUCCCACCAGGAGCAAGACGUCCACUGCCAGCUGUUUUCUGAACCCCAGAGCCUUACUGGAGAUAUCUCAGAAC